rnacentral:rRNA from 1 species
UAGGGAAUCUUCGGCAAUGGGGGCAACCCUGACCGAGCAACGCCGCGUGAGUGAAGAAGGUUUUCGGAUCGUAAAGCUCUGUUGUAAGAGAAGAACGUGUGUGAGAGUGGAAAGUUCACACAGUGACGGUAACUUACCAGAAAGGGACGGCUAACUACGUGCCAGCAG